rnacentral:lncRNA from 1 species
CCAUUUUCUUGAAAAAAGUCAAACAAGAAGGUACAAAUGAGUUAUGGGUGCCGUGCAAGUCCAUGGAGAGACAUAACCAGCUAAUUUUGGCUUAGCAGCUCUAUUACUGCUUUGAUCUUUCUGACAUUUUAUUUGAGGAUAAAUUUGAGAUAUUAUGUUAUUAGAAUAGAUGGAAGAAGUCUUAUUAGUUCUUGUUAGUUGAUACGCGAGUGAAAAUACGAAGAUGGGAACACACAAAAUACGGAAACACAAACACAAAUGAAACGAAAAUAAUGAAAGAGUAAAGGAUAGAAAAUAGACACAAGAGAAGGAACGUAGGCAAACCGCAAUAUACUAAAUUGAGGCCCUCAAAUGUAAUCCAACUACAAGCACCUAAAUCUUACGAAAACCGAGAGGGACAUUGAACCCUCACAACCAACGUUUCUCAACAAUCAAUAAAGCUCCCAACAAGCUUCAAUAAACACUCUCAAGUGUAAACUCAUUCAAAAUCAUCUUAGCCUAAAAUAAAGAGAAGACUACCUAUUUAUAGCCUAGGCUAUAUAUUGCAAUUGGGCCCAAAGGUGACCUUAAAUGCUAAUUGGGCCCAAAAGUGACCUAAAAGCUAAAUACUCAAGACUAUGGGCCCAAAAGUGACCCAAAAGCCCUAAUAGCCACAUGUUGGCACAUAUGCUCUUCCUUUGCUUUGUUGGACCUCAUAAACUCCAUGCUAUCUUCCAAACACGUUGUUGUCCAACACUCCUUUGGAUGAUAUCAUCAAAUGUAACUUCCCAAGCUAUCCUCCAAUCACGUAUUUGCUUCCCUGGAACGACCAAGUCUUAGAUCCUUAGGUUCGGUCCUUGAAGCAUAGAUCUCAAAAGAAGGAGCCAAUUCAGCUUGUAUCAUCCUCCCUUUAUUGAAUAUGAUUCGUCCUCGAAUCCAACUUUUUUAUCGACUUGUCGUCGUACUUUCCAAGUUUGGAAUCCUUUGGUAAGAACUUUGUUAGUCCUUCACGCUCAUUUUCAUAAGGGACUCUCCUUGCAUCUUUCUUUGAGAUUGUUCGCUCAUGAACCCGCACAAAUGAAGGAGUGAUACUAGGUUAAAUGCUAGUAUCUUGGUUAGUGAGUAACAAAGGCUUAAUGUUGGAAUUGUCUUAGUCCAACUGGAUUUGGAGUGGUCGGAUAACAAUUUGUGGAACUUGUUUAGUAUUUGGUAGGUUUGAGGGAGUUUGGACAUGGGGUCGAGGAGUAGGAUAAUAGGCUUUUAAAUGUUACCGAAGGUUUGCCAACCUACCAUCAAUGUUUUCCAAUCGACAAUCGAUGAUUGACAACUUCUCAUUUAUGUGUGACAAUCCCCUAGUCAUUUGUUUCACAUCUUGUCGCAAAUCCAUGGCCUCCACUAAGGUUCAAAGGUUGCACCACCCAUGGUUCUUAUUAUAUGAGAGAAAAAAAGAUGAAGAAACUAUGGAUGACUCAUUAAAAGUAAAAAAAGACUUGACUCAACGAAAUUGACGAAGAAAGAAACACUAAAAUACACAAAGAAAAGAAUAAAAAGGAAAAUGGACUCAAGGACUAAUUAAUCAACUAAUAGAUCAAUUAUUAGUUGUUAAUUAAUGUUUAAGAAUCAAAAGAUGAAGUUAAGAUCAAGAAAUGAAGAAGUUAGAUGGUUGAAACCUUACAAAGAAGUGAGUUGGAUGGCUUGUUGUGCAUUGGAACACGCUGAAGCGGAUGUGCGCAGACCUAGCGCACAUGGGGCGCACCACCAACACAAGAGCUACUGCUUUGGGCUGCCUUUGACCUGCUUUAGCAGGUCAGGCGCACCUCCAAAGCAUCCCCAAGGCAGAUCAGCCGAACCAGCAAGUACAAUGGGCAAAAAUGCCCUUUAUGGUCCCCUUUUGUCCUCUUCCUUUAGAAUAUUCCUUUGGAUCUUCAAAGGUGCUUUUGUACUCACACUUUCGUACACCUUUUCUUUCUCUUUCUUGGACCAAACACCCAUUUUUUUGCUGAAAAUUCAUCAUGAAGAUAUGAAUCUUGCCAAGAACAUCAAGAACACAAAAUUUUCAACUCUUUAACCCUUGCUUGUAAUGCGAUAAAAUUUUGAAUCCAAGAACUUUUCAACCUUAUAAACACAUUUCAGACAUCAUUAUGCUCAAAUUCUUAAUCAAAUUUUCCAGAUUUCAAAACCCACUUUCAAUUUCUUCAAACUCAAGCUUUCAACAAUGGUAGAUCCUCUGAUUUAGCUCCGAUUAAGCUCAAAUUUGCUAUUUAGACUCUAAUAGUGUUAGGAAACAAGAAUCUAACAAUAGAGACACAAGAAAACACCAAAAUCCAAAAUUCAAAAUUUGACCUAAGACCGAAAACCUGAAUUGUCAACUUUUUUUGUGAUUUUUCGUUUUUUCAAGACAACUAGACCCAAGAUUGACUUCGUGGGAACGAAAUCAAGCUCGACUCUGAUACCAAAUGAUACACGAGUGAAAAUACGAAGAUGGAAACUCACAAAAUACGAAACACAAGUACAAAUGAAACAAAGGAAAUGAAAAUAAUGAAAGGGUAAAGGAUAGAAAAUAGACACAAGAGAAGGAACGUAGGAAAACCACAAUAUACAAAAUUGAUGCCCUCAAACGUAAUCCAACUACAAGCACCUAAAUCUUACG